UACGUAGGUGGCGAGCAUUAUUCGGAAUUACUGGGCGUAAAGGGUCCGCAGGGGGUUUUUCAAGUCAGAUGUGAAAUUUCAGGGCUUAACUCUGAACGUGCAUUUGAAACUGGAAGACUAGAGUAUGUGAGAGGUAAGCGGAAUUUGUUGUGUAGCGGUGGAAUGCGUAGAUAUCACAAGGAAGGCCAAAGGCGAAAGCAGCUUACUGGCACAAUACUGACCCUCAGGGACGAAGGCUAAGGUAGCGAAAAGG
rnacentral:rRNA from 1 species